GGCGAUUCGAGCAGUCGCGUCAAGCAGGCUAUUCCGGGUUUGUGGCUGCUUGGCUCCACACGUGGGCCGCCGUAGGUAUUCCGACCGGUAGUUCCUCCUAUUGGUGUGCAGCAGCCACAUUGAAGGAUAGAGUGGCAGCAGAGGCCAAGGAUCGUGAGUUGAUGGAGUUUGCUGCUGAAAAUGAAGGGAAGUCUGGGGGAGGUCUCCACAGCGUAGCGGAGGGGGUGCGGCUAAGUCCAGAGCCUGGCAGGGAGGGAGUAAGGGACUUAGCAGGGGCGGAGGAGUUCGGCGGCGGAGAGGAGGGGACAGGGCUGACAGGGAUAAAGGAGAUAGGGGAUGGAGAGGAAGGAAGUGGACAAAGGCCAGAGGAAAUACCGAUGGACCUAACGGUAGUGAAGCAGGAAAUUAUAGACUGGCCAGGUACAGAAGGCAGGUUGGCUGGCCAGUGGGUAGAACAGGAGGUGGAGGAUAGGCCUGAGGUGAAGGAUGAGAACGCAGGCGUAUUGGAGGUGAAGCAGGAGACGGAUAGUAGUUUAGUGGUAAAAGAAGCGAAGGUGGGUGAACCAGAGGUAAAGGAAGAGAAGGUAAAGGAAGAGGUAAUGGACUGGUCAGAAGUGAAGGAAGAGAAGGAUAACUUGGAGAUAAAACAGGAGGAGAAGUUUGUUGGUCAAUGCAUAAAAGAGGAAUUGAUGCAUGGAGAGUGUGUAAAAGAAGAGAAGGAUUUCCUGAAGAAAGAAAUCGUGGAUGAUACAAAGGUGAAAGAAGAGCCUCCGAUAAAUCACCCGGUGGGCUGCAAGCGGAAACUGGCCAUGUCAAGGUGUGAGACUUGUGGUACAGAAGAAGCAAAGUACAGAUGUCCACGUUGUAUGCGAUAUUCCUGCAGUUUGCCCUGUGUAAAGAAACACAAAGCAGAACUGACAUGUAAUGGAGUUCGAGAUAAAACUGCAUACAUUUCAAUACAACAGUUUACUGAAAUGAAUCUCCUAAGUGAUUAUCGAUUUUUGGAAGAUGUGGCAAGAACAGCGGACCAUAUUUCUAGAGAUGCUUUUUUGAAAAGACCAAUAAGCAAUAAACAUAUGUACUUUAUGAAAAAUCGUGCCCGGAGGCAAGGUAUUAACUUAAAACUUCUACCCAAUGGAUUCACCAAGAGGAAGGAGAAUUCAACCUUUUUUGAUAAGAAAAAACAACAGUUUUGUUGGCAUGUGAAGCUCCAGUUUCCUCAAAGUCAAGCUGAGUACAUAGAAAAAAGAGUACCAGAUGAUAAAACUAUUAAUGAAAUCCUAAAACCUUACAUUGAUCCUGAAAAGUCUGACCCUGUAAUUCGUCAAAGGUUGAAAGCCUACAUUCGCUCUCAGACUGGGGUUCAGAUUUUAAUGAAGAUUGAAUAUAUGCAGCAAAAUUUAGUAAGGUAAAAUUGCUCCCCUCCCCAUUUCUUUAAAUAUUUUUUAGUUCUGUAAUAUAAUUAAGUAGCUUGAUUAGCUCAAGUUAUUAAACUAAUUAUCUAGCUAUGAACAUGACUUUUACUUUUCAACUUUCAAGUCAGAAUUCAAAAUAAUCAGACUUAUAGGAUAAAUUGGGUUGAAAAAUCACCCUGGUUAGAAUAUUUUAUUUUCUGUCAACUGAUAUAGGGGAAAUAGAAUAUUUUAAAAUAUAAGCAUUCUUUUAUUUGUUCUAUUGUGGUUUACUUCACUGAGCUUUACAGGUAUUGCAUUCUUUACAAAUUGAAGGUUUGUGGUAACUCUGCAUUGAGCAAGUCUAUCUGCACCAGUUUUCCAACAGCACAUGUUCAGUUCGAGUCUAUGUGUCACAGUUUGGUAAUUCUUGCAAUAUUUCAGACUUUUUCGUUAGCACUAUAUCUGUUAUGGUGACCUGUGAUACAGUAGUAACACUUUAAUGUUACUACUGUAAUUGCUUUGGGUGCACCACAAUAUAAGGUGGCAGCCUUAAAUGUGUGUGUUCUGACUGCUCUACCAACCACUCAUUCACCCAUCUCUCUCACUCUCCUCAGGCCUCCCUAUUCCUUGAGACACAAUAAUAUUGAAAUUAGGCCAAUUAAUAACCACACAAUGGCCUGUGAGUGUUCAAGUGAAAGGAAGAGUCACAUCUCUCACUUUAAAUCAAAAGUGGAAUGAUUAAGCUUAGUGAGGAAGGCAUGUUGAAAGCCGAGAUAGGCUGAAAGCUAGGCCUCUCCUGCUAGUUAGUCAAGUCGUGAUUGCAAAGGAAAAAUUCUUGAAGGAAAUUAAAAGUGCUACUCCAGUGAACACAAGAAUGAUAAAAAAGUAAAAUAGUCUUUUUUUUUUGAGACGGAGUUUCACUCUUGUUGUCCAAGCUGGAGUGCGAUGGCGUGAUCUCGGUUCACCGCAACCUCCACCUCCCAGGUUCAAGCGAUUCUUCUGCCUCAGUCUCUUGAGUAGCUGGGAUUACAGGCAUGUGCCACCACGCCCAGCUAAUUUUGUAUUUUUAGUAGAGACGGGGUUUCUCCAUGUUGGUCAGGCUGGUCUCAAACUCCCCACCUCAGCUGAGGCAGGCAGAUUGCUUGAGCUCAGGAGUUUGAGACAAGCCUGAGCAACAUAGCAGGACCUCGUCUUCGAAAAAAAAAAGAAAAAGAUAAACCUGAGCCAGUCUGAGGAACAUGAAAGUACUUUCACUCUACCUUAUCUGUGGAGAAAGCUCAUCUUCCAAAUUCCCCCAUUUUUGCUAUUGACUCGAACUAAGUAAUAUAUGAAAAUACUACCAAAGCAAAGGAAGGGGGAAAAGGUUAUGUCCCAGGUCCAGUUUAAAAAUUGCCAUUCUGUUUAGCCUUGAGUAGUGAUGGCAUCAUUUGACAGCAAUAAUAAUGUCAGAAAUUCCUGUUGAGGUAGCUUUCAUCUUGAAGGUGGACCUAAAUUGGUAUAGGGCAUCUUUAUAUUUCUGAUUAUUAGGUCAGCCACAAAGCAUAGUUAUGCUAAUUUCUAAAGAACCUCAAUUUUAUAAGUAUUUUGUAGUCAUAAGUAAUGAAGUUAGAUAGUAUAGAGAUAUAUUUAGGCGUAGAUUUUUAUUUUUUAUCAGAUUUUUAAAACAUAAUGUUCUCUGUGUAACAUACUCAUGAAUGGACUAAGAUGAGCUUUUACAUUUGAUUGGUACAUCCUUAAAGGAAAGUACAUUACAGUUACAUCCUUAAAGGAAAGUACAUUCAGAGAACAUCUAAGGAAAAUUAUUAUAGGUUAUAAAUGUUAAGCUCUAAUUUAAGAUAAGCAUUCUAAAUAGAACCAUUUUAUUAUUUCCUGAAAAGUGCUUAGAAAUCAGAAACAUGUAGUUUCUUUGUGGCUGUUUAAUUCUACAUUUACAGCAUUACAGUAACUUCAGAGUAAAGUCUUUUUACCAAAUACUUGAUGUUGCCAGUUUCCAUUGGUUUUAUUUUCCAUUCUUGGAAGGUAUAUAGCAAUUGUCUCAUGAUAUAGAUAUACCUGGUCAGCUAGAGCAUGGUUAAGUUUUUCCCAGGUUUUAGCUUUGCUAUACAUGGCUUAUUUUUUAAAUUGCGAUCAUAGAAUGUAUGUCUAAUCUAAGAAAUUCGCUACUGAUCUGUUUGGGAGUUUUCUUUCCAGAAUACAUAGGGUCUGAAUUUAUCUCUUAGAAAAGCUAUUAUAGCUUUUUAAAUAAAUUCACUUAUUCAUUCAGCAAACAGUGAGUAUGCCAAAGUCCAGAUGCUAUUCUAGACAUUGAGGCUAUGGCAGUAAAGAAGAGUGUUCCUGCCCCUGUGGAGAAGAUCAUUCAUGUAAGAUGCUUGUGUUAGUAAAGCCAUUCUUGCCCUUUGCCGCAUUAUUUCUUACCAACUUUCUAUUCUCAGAAAGUAAAUGAGUGGUUUUGGACUAGAAAAGCCUAUGUUGCUAAAUGUCAGGCACUAUCAGAGGGCAGCUGUUGUAUUACUGCCCACUUAAGUUACUACUGACUGAAGAAUUUAUAAAACAACUGACUUUGUCUAUUCAAGUACAGUUUUCCAAAUCUAUUAAAUUUUAAGCCUGGAUUUUACUUUUAUGGAACUAUUUACCAGAAAGAAAUUUAGAUACAUUUUGUUUUUUAUGUUUACUUUGCUUCUUUGAUACUUGUAAAUCUUCGUGGGUUUUUUUUGUGUGUGUGUGAUUUAAGCAGUUAUAGGAUGAUCCUUUCCAAAUUUAUUCAAAAAAAACCAUUAAGUACAUUUAAUCUUCUAGGCAUAUAAAUAAAAAUUGGAGUUUAUACAAGAAUGAAUAAAAUACAGUUCUGUUGUAGUAGGGAAAACAGACACACUGUAUAUAUCAUAAGAAACCUAUGUCUAAGUCUUAAAAGUGAUGUGGAAGGUAGUAGGUAUCCUCAUGUCAUCAGAAGGCUUUGUUGUGGAAGUGAUGUUUGAUUUUUAUUAAAGGUGAAUGGCCUAUGACUAGGGGAGGGUACAGAGGGCCUUAAGAAGUGCAAGGGCGUGGUAUGUCAUAAACAAGGCAAGUAAGUGAUUUGAGGAGGUUGGAGUGUAUAGAUGUAUGCAGAGCAGUAUUUUUUAAACUUUUUUUUAAAAGUUAAGGUUGAAGAGUUAGUUCAAGACCCAAUACUAACGCUGUUUGGAUCUGGUCUCAUUGGCAGUAGAAAACUGUAAAAAUCUAGCAAAAAAAAAAAAAAAACAGUAAGACUUGGUGAUCAAGUUGGCUAUAGGGAGCAAUAAAUAGGAAUCAAAGGUGACUGCGGUUUCUGGCAUGAUUGCUGUUUACAGAGAGAUGAAAGUAAGGGCUGGAGAGGCUAAGAGCAUGUUGAGUUUCAUGUAGGGGUGGCAUCAUUUUCAGGAACACUACUUUCGAAAAGAAUGACCUUACUCUACUAAUUAUUAGGAUAUCUUCAGAGUGAAAUUGUAUGCUAGUAAAAAAUAGUAAUAUUAUCCUUCCAGAAUACAUAAUCUGUGUAGUAUACCUUACUUUAGUUUAUGAGGCUCUAGACUAGACUUUUUAGACCAAAAGUUUCACCAUUACAAAUAGUACAUUUAUUAUAAUAAAUAAAAGUUUAUUGUAACUGCUUCCUAAGCCUAAACCAAAUCAUGAGAACUUCCAGAAUAACCUUUUUGCUCUUAUGCAAAAAUGUACAUCAGAGAUUUGCUGUAAGGUCAAAAUUGUGUUUUUAAUUUGAUACAUACCUUGGAAAGUUACUAAGCCUGUUUUCCCAUCUAAAAGUGGGAAUCAGAACAGAAAUGAUACUGCAUCGUUGUAAAGAUUAAUUUGAGUUAAUAUUUGUCAGCUACUGAAUACAGUGCCUGGCACCCAGAAAAUCACUCCUGUGUAUUAUUCAAGUAUUUUGAGUUUCAACUAGAACAUCAUGCUGAAAUGAUUGAAUGAACGUAAGAGGUGUUUAAGUUCCACAUGUCUGGUAGUAGGUAACUGUAUCAUGUAUUACUUUUUUUGUUUAUUUGUUUAACAGCUUCUUUUAACCAAAUUCAUUUUGAAAAAAAAAAAAUUUUUUUUUUAAGAGACAGGAUCUUACUCUGUUGCCCAGGCUGGAAUGCAGUAGCACAAGCAUAGCCUCACUGCAGCCUUGAACGCCUGAGGUCAAGAAAUCUUCCUGCUUCAGCCUCCUGCAUAGCUGAGGCCCUAGGCAUGCAUCAGCCAUAUAAUUUCUUAUACUUCUGGGAUAUACUUCAAGUGUAAUAUUAGCUAUACAUUCCCAACAGGCCACUCACCACUAAACACAAGGGAGCAGAUAACCAGUUGUGUUUGUUAACAUUUCUUUUGACAUAAUUGGAUAUUGGAAGAAUAUGAGAGAUUUCAGGAACUUAAGAUAUUGUCAACUUAUUUCUGUAGAAAUUACUCCCAAAUCUAGAUAUAGUUUUAACCUUUCUCCCAACCUCCAAAUCUUGGUUUCCAGCUAUCUUCAUUUACACAUCUCAUUAAAUCUUAAGCUCAACAUGUCUAGAUUUCAUUACACUGCAUCUAUUUCUUCCUGAUGUGUGUGUUUCAAAUUUAAUGGACUGACUGUUCCUGGCAUCGAGUAAGCAGUCAACAAAUGUUGGUAUGCAUUUUCUAUUACUGGCACUGUUGUUCUAGUAAGCCAGGCGUAAGACCUUGCAGCUCAGCAUCUUCAACUACUUCUUGACUUCUACCUUGCCACCUUACCUUGUAUAAUUGACAUCCACAAUGAGUCUUCCAUUUGUCCUUUCUUCUCCAUUCCUUUUAUGUAGACUGUUAGUUACCAGUGUCUGCAACAGAGUUCAUUUCCUUCCCCCAAACUGGAUAUGAUUUCUGUAUCUUUAGAACCUUAAAAGUGUUUUGCAUUUCUCAUAGGUUUCUAUAAAUUUGACUUAUUUUAUCCCAAUAAAACUUAAAUCACAUGAUGAUUAACUCUCUUUUGAAGACAGUGGUUGCCGUAGGCAUCUUCAUUUUUAUAUUUCCUGCAGAGUUGUGUUAGUGACUUUUCCACAGUAAGUGUUCAGUCUUAAUUUUUUAAUGUGUGCUAAUUCAUUAAAAUAUAUAUAUGUGUGUAUAUAUAUAUGUAUAUAUGCCUGCUGUAUGCUAGGUAUUGAUGCCAAGUUAAUACCCUUAAGCAGGGCUUGGGCAACUUUUCCUUUAAAUGGCCAGAUAGUAAAUAUUUUCCAGCUUUGUGGGCCAUUUAGUCAUAAUUAGUCAAUUCUACCAUUGUAGCACGUAAGCAACUAUAGACCACUUAAAUGAAUGGACAUGACUAGAAUAUGGUCCAGUAAAACUUUAUUUACAAAAACAGAUAGUGGGCUGGAUUUGGCCUCCUGGCUGUAGUUUGCCGAUUCCUGCUCUAAAGGGUUUUUUUAUUGGUUUACAUGAUAUCUGUAUAUCAUGUAAACAGUUGGGGGCUUCAAUUCUCAAUGAAGAGAGAGAGAGAAGAUUGUAACAAGGGCCUAGUAUAAUUUAAAAGUUACUUCAGAAAGUGUAGUACCUGCUCAGGGUCAGGCUUUUUGAUACAUGAACCUGACCUAAAGUAUCAGUUAAGAUUGAUCAGGUCUGUAUUUUUCAUUUAUUCAGUUAAUUUUCAUUGAGCCCCUUUCAUGUGCUAGCCCAGUGCUAAUACCUAGGGAUAUAUAGACAUCUACAAGACUAGCCCUCAAAGAGCUCAUAGUCUAGAUGGGAAGAAUGAUAUGUGAUAAAUACCGCAAAAGAUAGAUACUUAAAAUACAAGGCAUAAAAGGUGCCCAGUGGAGGGCAUGGGCAUCUUUGCAUGGACGCUCCAGACUUAAUCAUUUCUUGAUGGAAAGACAAACCAUUGCCUUCACUUUGCUUCCAGAAUUUUUCUUGUAAAGCCAAGAAUUUAGAUUUAAACCCAAGCCCAGGUUAAAGUAUUACCUAAGCUUUGAUUUCAUGGAUAUCACACAAAUUUUUACUGUUCAUGCGCAUAUUAUCCUGUUGUACUUGCACAGAGCCUAUUAGUUGUUUCGUCCUGUGCUGGUUUUAGUUAAUAAUUUUGGAAUGCUUUUUGUUUGAAAAGCAACCAGCAAAAGUAUGAGCUAUUUCUCUUGGAUGAUUUUAUUUCCAUGCUGAGAGGAUGUUUUUAAAUUUUAAAAACUAAGGCUAUUUUACCUUCCUUGGAACUUUAUGGAUCUUUAAUCUAAAAUAUUUUAAAAUCAUUUUCAGUGAAGUGAAGAGGUAAAAUGCUUUUUCCUAUCUCCUUUUUGAGAAAUUGAUUUUACCUGUGUAAAGGCCUCAGGUGAGCCCCACCUGACCUCUUUUGGCUUGCACCCACUCACUAGCAAGAAAAGACCCCGUUUCACUACUGGCCAGUUAUUCUUCCUUCCUGUAAACCUCUCCCCAGUGGAACAUGUAACCUGUAUUUCUUUUCAGAACAAUGCUUCUCAGAUUUCAGUAUCCAUAAUAAUAGUCUAGGGCAGUUGUUGAAAAUGUUGAUUUCCAAACCACUCUCUUAGGGUUCUGGUUUAGUAAAUCUUACAUAGGACCCAGAAACCUACAUUAUUUUUUUUACAAUCUCUGCCUCCCAAGGGUGACCGUGAUAUAAGUUCUUCCUGGGACCACACUUUGAGAAACACUGGCCAGGUUGGUAAACUCCUUGAGGACAUUGUUGGUUCCCACACAAUGUCUGACAUGUGACAAGUUUUUGGUAGAUAUAUUCAGUUGAGUUGUUGAAGUUGUAUAAAGAAACAUGUCAAUUGAUAUUAGAAUGGAUUUUUUUAAAAUCACAUUUUACCUCCUUAAAGAUUAGUCUGUGCUCUUUGCCUAACUGAACUAGAAAUGGAAAAUUAGAUGACUUUGUUUUAGACUUACGGUGAAUAAUUGAAAAAUAUACUUUGAAGAUACUCUAAAUAGGAAAUUUAUAAGAUGUGUGUUAAAAGUUAGAACUUAAAAAUUAUUUUGAGAAUAGUGCAGAAUUAAAUAUAUACUGGAGAACACUGAAGAAAUUCCAGAAUUUCUAAGAACAGUGUUAACUAUUUUCAGAUGUCUUUUCUUAUGUAAACAGCCAGAGACAUUUCUGCCUAAGAUCCCCUGAAAAUAACUGUUGAAGAAUUAGUGAAGAAUAAGAGCUUGCUCUCUAGAUGGGAUUACGUAAACUUCCUCUUGUUUUCCUUUUGAAAUUUGAUUCUGUUAAUGGAUACCAAGUUGAUAAAUGGGGGAAAAUCAUUUAAUCUGAGAAUCAAUAGUGAACAACCAUGCCUUUAAUAGAAGAUGCCAUCAUCAGUGCUCGUCCAUCACGUUAAGAGAUGUUUUUCAAAAAUAACUUAAUUUGUUUGUAAUAUAUUUGUGAUGUUUUGAUCAAUUUGAUGUUAAUAAUAGUUAAAAUUAUUCAGUUCAGAAGAAAUUUUAUUAUUUAAAACAUAAAGGUCAUAGGUAAUGAAAUUAAAUUUUACAUUACAUUUUUGUUGCAGAGAAGGUCAGGUAUAAACAUACUACUUGGUAUAAAAUUCUGCAGGAGAAUCGGAAUGGAAAAACAGAGAACAAGUAAGAUUUCUAACUUAGAAAGCAGAGCAUAUAUAUAUAUAUUUUUUCUUUUUUUCUUUUUUUUUUUUUGAAAGAGAGAGUGAGUGAGUGAGUCUCACUCUCUUGCCCAGGCUAGAGUGCAGUUGCGCAAUUUCAGCUCAUUGCAACCUCUGGCUUUUGGAUUCAAGCAAUUCUCGUGCCUCAGCCUCCCAAGUAGCUGGGAUCACAGGCACACACUACCACACCUGGCUAAUUUUUGUAUUUUUGUAGAGAGACAGGGUUUUGCCAUAUUGGCCAGGCUGGUCUCAAACUGCUGGCCUCAAGUGAUCUGCCUGCCUCAGCCUCCCAAAGUGCUGGGAUUACAGGUGUGAGCCACCACACAUGGCCAUUAUUCUUUUUUUUUUUUUUAAUGGAUGAUAUUGAUGUUAAAUUACCAUGAUAUUUACAGUCUAGUGAAUUUACUUAAGGGUGAUAUAUUUCAUCUUAAAACAUCAAUAUUCACAAUACACCAUAAAUUAUGUUCUUUGCAUCUACUUAAACUUGUAGGAUGUCAAUUUAAGAAUGUACAAAAGUAUCAUUGUUUUUCACAAUUAUUUUAGGUUAUGUUUAAGCAAAACAAUGUGAAGACCCUGAAUAAGUUUUCCCAAACACAAGAAUUGUUUCCUGCAAGAGUGAUUUAAAAUCAAGGUUAAAUCUGGGGGCUAAUAUGUAUCUUUAUGGAAUAUAGUAAGUAUGAAUGACAUACUUUUAUUGAGUGCCUUACUAUUAUUUAGGUACUCUGGUAAGCACCUCAUACAUAUUAUAAUUGUAUUAUAAUUAAAUGGAUAGCCCGUCUACAGCUGUAUGACCACUAAAUGGUAGAACCUAGAUCCAAACCUAGGUCUGCCCGCACUCAAAGCCUUAGUAUGUUCUUUGCAAUAUAGUACAUGCCUCUCAGCACCAUAAAUAAUCAUAAUGCAUGUUCUCAGAUUAUGUGAAACCCAACCACAGUUCUUUAUUAUACCUUUUUGGGAUUGUUGUUUAUUUUUCAAAGUAAUCAUGGUCAGGAUGAGUAUGUGCUCAGAAUGGCAUUAACUUUUGACCACGUUUUGGAUAUAGAUUCUAAAAGAAAGCGAGAAUAAAACAAAGAACAAAGGAAGCAUCAUUUAAGGAUUAUAGCAAUUCUGUAUUCUAUUACAGAACAAAGGAAUCAUCAUUUAAGGAUUAGAAAAUGUUAGAGUUAACCUGAAGAAUGUCCACACACAGAAAGGGAAUAUGUCAAGUGGUUUGCUAAACUUUUUUUAUCAUCUCAAAGAUGAUACUCUUCCAGUGAUGGAAUGGGCUUCAUAUGUGGUAUUCUUGUUAAAGCAGUUUUAUGAUAAGAAUUGUUAACUUAGCUUUAAGAAAGCUGAAGCUCAGCUAGUUGGCACAGUUCGGUGAGUGUUUACCGGACAGAUAUAAACUCAACUAUUGAGGUCUCGGUAGCUUUCAACCUGAGAAGGUUAGUUUGAGAGGCUGUAUUUGAAGUGAUCCAAAGUGAUGUGAUGGUCAAAUUCUUGGCAGAUUGCAAGCCUACAAUUUCUAUAGUGAUAGUCUUACUUCAAAUAUAUUCUAUUCUGAUUCUUGGUUAAGGAAAUUAUGUGAAAUAUAAAAUGUGAGUUUUCUCUAAAAUCAAGUGAUAUUUUAGCGUAAUGUUAAUCUACUAAACUUACCUAUCCUUGUUACGUUAUAGAAUAUUUUGUGACCAAUUUAAAUGUUAGGCACCAAAACUGUGAAUUCUAUGUGUAUUCCAAUACCCAUUCUCUGCUCAGUACUUUAAACAUAUCCGCUCUCUACCCAGUUCCAUAGACCUAGCUCUCUCCUCCUAUCUUUACCUUACACAUAUACUUUCUUCCUGGAAAGUCUGUCCUUUCACCUCUAGUAAAUUCCUUAUAGUACACCAUUGUAUUCCCAGUGCCAAGAACAGUGUCUGGAACAUGGUAGACUCUCAGUAAAUAUUUGUUGAAUGAGGAAUGAAUGAACAAGCACACAGUUGAGUGAAAGAAAUCACAAAAUUGACUUUAUAGUCCCAACUCUGCAUUUUCUUGAGAGACCCUGAGUAAGAUACUUAACUUCUCAGGGCUUCAGUAUACUUAACUGGAAGACAAAAAAGACUGGGUUGUAAGUUCCUGCCAACUCUAAAAUAAUACCAUUCUAUAAUGUAGUUAAUUCAUGGACUAUUGAACCUCUAAGCAAAAGUUUCUCUGAGGAACCUAAUCAUAUUUUGCAAGGUAAUAUACAUCCUAAUAAAGACUGAAGAUGUAAGAGUCUGUACUGAUGAGACACUUGCAUUCAGUUUUAACUUCAAAGGAAAUGUAUGUUUUGUUAGCAAGAUUAAGACUAAAGAUUAAGAUUUAAAAUCCCUACAUUAAUUAGAGGGGGAAAAAAGUGCAUGGAGGAGAAAGAAUUUUAAGAAACAAAUAAUUAACAAUACUGUAUUGUAUACUUGAAAUUUGCUAAGAGGGUACAUUUUAAGUGUUCUUAUCACAAGAAAAAAGAAAAAAAUGCUAUGUAAGGUGAUGGAUAUGUUAAUUAGCUUGAUUAUGAUAUUAUUUCACAACAUAUACAUACAUCAGAAUAUCAAGUUGAGGCUGGCACAGUGGCUCACACCUGUUGUAAUCCCAACACUUUGGGAGGCUGAGGCAGGAGGAUCAUUUGAGCCCAGGAGUUUGAGACCAGCCUGGGCAACAUAGGGAGACCCUGUCUCUACAAAAAUAAAAAAUAAAAAUCAAAUUGUAUACCUUAAAUAAUAUAUAUAAUUCCUAUUUGUCAAUUAUACCUCAAUAAAAUUGAGCAAAAAAAGAAUACGAACCAAUUAAGGAGAGGUGUUAGCUAGGGUUAGGAACUGAAGUACCUAGAUAGUGAAGACCCUGUGCAGCCUGCAAGAACAAAGAACAUUUGGAUGUUGGUACUGAACAAGAGAGGUUUGGGAGGCUGAGGCAGGCAGAUCACCUGAGGUCAGGAGUUUGAGACCAGCCUGGCCAACAUAGUGAAACCUGUCUCUACUAAACAUACAAACAUUAGCCAAGUGUGGCAGCAUACACCUGUAGUCCCAGCUACUCGAGAGGCUGAGGCAGGAGAAUCGCUUGAACCCGGGAGGCAGAGAUUGCAGUGAGCUGAGAUCGCGCCGCUGGACUCUAGCCUGGGCGACAGAGCGAGACUCUGUCUCAAAACAAAACAAAACAACAACAGAACAAGAGAGAAUAUUUACUGAGGAUCUACUUAGCUUUACUUUUUUUUUUUUUAACUUUUAGGUUCAGGGGUACGUGUACAGAUUUGUAAUAUAGGUAAAAUCAUGUCACAAGGGUUUGUUGUACAGAUUAUUUUGUCACGCAGGUACUAAACCUAGUACCCAGUAGUUAUUCUUUCUGCUCCUUUCCCUCCUCCCACCCUCCACCUUCACCUCGUUCCUAGUUCUUUGUGUCCAUGAGUUCUCAUCAUUUAGCUCCCACUUAUAAGUGAGAACAUGUGGCAUUUGGUUUUCUGUCCUGCAUUAGUUUGCUAAGGAUAACGCAUGAAGAUUCAGGAGAAUGGCAAGCCCCAAUCCAAAGAAACUAAGAAUCACAAUAAAACAGUACAGGAGCUGACAGACAAAAUAGCCAAUGUAAAAAUGAACCUAACAGAUCUGACAAAGCUGAAAAAUACACUUCAAGAAUUUCACAGUGCAAUCACCGUAUUAACAGCAGACUAGACCAAGCUGAGGAAAGAAUCUCAGAAAUUGAAGAUGGGUUCUCUGAAAUAAAGCAGACAAAAAUAAAGAAAAAUGAAUGAAAGGAAUGAACAAAACCUCUGAGAAAUAUGGGAUUAUGUAAAGAGGCCAAAUCUACGAAUCAUUGGCAUCCCUGAAGGGGAUGGGGAGAAAGCAAACAACGUGGAAAACACAUUUUAAGAUAUUGUCCAUGAAAGCUUCCCCAUCCUUGCUAGAUAGGUUAACAGUCAAAUUCAGGAAAUACAGAGACCCCUGCAAUAUUCUCCACAAGAAGAUCAUCCCUAAGAUACAUAAUCGUCAGAUUUUCCAAGGUCGAAAUGAAAGAAAGAAUGAAAUGAAAAACAGCUAGAGAGAAGGGGCAGGUCACCUACAGAGUGGCUACAGAGAUGGAUCACCUCCACCAGGCUAACAGCAGAAACUCUUUACAAGCCAGAGAGUUUGGGGGCCUAUAUUCAACAUUGUUAAAAAAAAAAAUCUUCAACCAGGAAUUUCAUUUCCAGCUAAACUAAGUUUCUUAAGCAAAGGAGAAAUAAGAUUCUUUUCAGAUAAGCGAAUGUUGAGGGAGUUUUUUACCACCAGACCUGCCUUAAAAGAGAUCUUGAAAAGAGUACUAACUAUAGAAAGGAAAAACCAUUACUAGCCAGUGUCACUUUACAUUUCUAUCAUGUUACUUGUGCCAAUGAAUGCAAUAGCUGUUUGUCUGCCUCCCCCCAUAAAGUGCAAGGUUUAUUUCUAUGAACUUCCAUUACCUAGCAGACUACCUGUGCAUAGUAGACACUAAGUAAAUAUUUGAGGAAUCAAUUGAAGAAUAAAUGCCAGGCUAAUGCUUAUAACAUUUUCACAUGCAUUAAUUCUAAUAAAGUAUGUACUAUGUCUUCUCUACUUUACCUGAUUAGGAAUCUUAGGCUCUGAAAAAUUGACUUACCCAAAGAAACUAAGUUUGUACAGUUUAUAAGGCUAAGAUUUGGACUCAGACCUGUUCAUCAAGAGUUCAGUUCAUGCUUUUUCUACUAACUAGUCUCUGUCUCUGUCAUAAAUCAUAAAUAUAAUUCCUGAUAAGUAUGUCAUUUCCUUGCUAGGAGUGCCAAAUUACUUUUGGAGUAUAAAAUCUUAUUACUGAUGCUAGCUUAGCAGGUUACACUUUGGAAACAUUUUCACCUGUUAUAGUCCUUACAAACUAACCCAUGAGUAGGUAUCUUUCCUACCAUUAUAUUGAUGGGCAAAACUGAGUCUCCUUGUGGAGUCAUAGCUCAUAAGGACCAGUGAUAAGACUGGAACUCAAGCCUUGUGGAUUUAAAAGUAAUUGAAUUUACCAGCGAAAAUCAGAAAAGAUUUCAAAGAAAUAAUAUCUAGAACAAGUCAGAGCCUUGUAAGCCCCUCUUUAAAACAGGUUUUAAAAUAUAUAGUUGGCCAUUUUAUUUAACCACAUCCAUAGUUUAAAUAUCAUGGUUAGAAUAGGAUAAUUUACCAAAUGCAGUUCUGAACUGGUGAACUUUCUGAAUUAAGGCAUAUGUCUGUACUACACAAUUCAUGAUCUACUCUCCAUGUCAAGCAGGUAUCGUCCUCAUUUAUGUGGAUAUAUAAAAAUCCCAAAACAAAGUGCAUCAAACCACUAACUUAACUACUGUGAUUUUUAAAAUAUGAAAACUAAGAGAGAUUGGGUGAGAAAAAGAUUAACUUUGGCAAAAUCCUUUUCUAUAUGACUUGAACAUUAGGAGUUGCAAAAAUUGUUACACAGAAGUAUUAUUUGGAGAAAUUUUAAAUAAUACCUUUUAAAGUUUAAAUAAAAGAAGAAUUAAAACUGUUUUUUGGAAUAAUUUAGUUGAACUUUUAAUCUAGAAACCUAGAUUGAGAAAUAAAUACAACUGUGAAAAAAUAUAGUUAAGUAUCAAAAAUUGUAGAAAUUUAGAGCUGAAGGGAUCUUAGUGAUCACCUAAUUCAAUGAUCUUAUUUUAGUGGAAAAAUACUGUGGCCUAGGGCCUGCUACUAGAUUGCUAAAUUUGGAGAAAUUCAAACUUAGUUUUGGUAU